UACGGAGGGUGCAAGCGUUAUCCGGAUUUACUGGGUUUAAAGGGUGCGUAGGUGGGUUGGUAAGUCAGUGGUGAAAUACUUUCGCUUAACGAAGGAACUGCCAUUGAUACUACCAGUCUUGAAUACAGUGGAGGUAGGCGGAAUGCGUCAUGUAGCGGUGAAAUGCUUAGAUAUGGCGCAGAACACCAAUUGCGAAGGCAGCUUGCUACACUGUUAUUGACACUGAGGCACGAAAGCGUGGGGAUCAAACAGG
rnacentral:rRNA from 1 species